CACACGGUCUGCGUGUGGGCGUGUGGUGAGCGCGGUUCGGUUGGUAGGUUGGCAGGCGAGCUGGCUGGUCGUUGUCGCCGCAACUGCUGGCUGGCUGGCUGGCUGGCUGGCUGACUGGCUAGGCGGUGGGUUGGCGGGACGGCUGGGUGGUUUGCUUGCUGGCUGGGCUGGCUGGUGCGAUGCUGCACUACUACUGCUUGCGUGCAGUGAGCGUGUGUUGGCAGGGAUUGUGUUGCCGUGGCCAUGAAGAAGCACUGUCGUGUCAAGCUGGCAAGGCGAUGGUGUCACCUUUGAGCCAUGUCUGUGGUGUAACAGCUACAGGUGUGGACGGGUGUUGGGCAGCGCUCUGCACACGUUGUGGAGUCUGUCGGCUCGUCUGCAUGCCUUUGGAUGCCCUUAAAAAGGUGUCUGCGGGCGGAUGGCACGUUUACUUUGAACAAAUUUGAGUGCUCAAAUCAGGCCGAUGUUGCCUGAAAAGUUUUGCAUGGAAUAAUGGAAUAGGACUUCGGUUCUAUUUCGUUGGUUUUCGGAUCCGAAGUAAUGAUCAAAAGAGACAGGCGGGGACGUUUGUAUGGCUGCGCUAGAGGUGAAAUUCAUGGACCGUAGCCAGACAGACUAAAGCGAAAGCAUUCGUCAAGCAUGUUUUCAUUGGCCAUGAGCGAAAGUCAGAGGCUCGAAGACGAUCAGAUACCGUCCUAGUUCUGACCAUAAACGAUGCCAACUGACGAUCCGUGGUGGUAGUAGUGUUACCUUCCCCACGGGCAGUCCCCGGGAAACCUUUAAGUGUUUGGGUUCCGGGGGAAGUAUGGUUGCAAAGCUGAAACUUAAAGGAAUUGACGGAAGGGCACCACCAGGAGUGGAGCCUGCGGCUUAAUUUGACUCAACACGGGAAAACUCACCCGGGCCGGACACUGUGAGGAUUGACAGAUUGAGAGCUCUUUCUUGAUUUGGUGGUUGGUGGUGCAUGGCCGUUCUUAGUUGGUGGAGCGAUUUGUCUGGUUAAUUCCGAUAACGAACGAGACUCCAACCUGCUAAUUAGUGCGUUUGUCCACUGCGCCUGCGUAGGUGACGCUGGAUGACACCACCUGUCACGAGGACGUGGCAGCGGCUCUUCUCUCCCCUUCUCCGCUCGAAUGCCCUCCAGCGCCUCCUCCUCCUCCUCCUCUCCUCCCCCUUCUUCAGCGCCUCAUCUGGCCGGCUGGCUGGCUGGCCGGGUGAGGCGGUGGUGGCGGUGGCGGUGGUGAGGGCGAUGGGGUGGGGAUGGUGCGGGUGGGCGAGUGGAUUGUGGUGGAGGCGUGGGGUUGGGUGCGGCGCUCGUGGCCGGUUAGUCUGGCGUUGGCCUCCGGGUGUGGCGCGAAUGCCUACUUCUUAGAGGGACAAGCGGGAGAAGCCGCACGAAAUAGAGCAAUAACAGGUCUGUGAUGCCCUUAGAUGUCCGGGGCCGCACGCGCGCUACAAUGACGGUGUCAGCGAGUCAGGCCUUCUGGCCCGAAAGGGUUGGGCAAACUGGUCAAUCACCGUCGUGACAGGGAUCGGGGCUUGGAAUUGUUCCCCGUGAACGAGGAAUUCCUAGUAAGUGCAAGUCAUAAGCUUGCGCUGAUUACGUCCCUGCCCUUUGUACACACCGCCCGUCGCUACUACCGAUUGAAUGGUUUAGUAAGGUCCUCGGAUUGGCGUCAUUGCGACGGUGGCCGAGAGGUCACAGCCCGAGGGGCGCUGAGAAGACGACCGAACUUGAUCAUUUAGAGGAAGUAAAAGUCGUAACAAGGUUUCCGUAGGUGAACCUGCGGAAG
rnacentral:rRNA from 1 species